UUCUACUGCCAUGCAAGAAUAAAGUGGUGCAUACACUUGCUUCGUUGGCCUUUGCACACAGAAAAGCUAUCCGUUGCUAAACAAGCAGAUCUUCUUUACCCAUAUUUGACCAAGAAAAGAACCCUUCGUUGGAAUUGGUGGUCUCGGAAAAGAAGUUGUGAAUAUAUGGAUCAAUGGUUAGCAAUGUUCUUGAACGUCAUCUUGGGAACCAUGACGGGUCUCUUAUCGUGAUGAAGGCAGAAUUUGGCAUACCAACACCAUAUGAUAUGGUCCAUAUCAUAUAACAAGGGAAUGUUACUUCAUUAUAAGAAGUAAUGAGGUGGAUGAUCGUUGUUGGUUGAUUGUUGACGUGCCAUCAAAUCUCCCUAGAAAGCCAUCUGCCUGUCUAUGUGGGUGCUCAAAUGUAUGUAAAUAUUUGUAUAUAUUCUAAAUCCAUGCAUUGCAAAAAAAAAAAAAAAGUAUGUGUUUUU